UACAGAGGGUGCGAGCGUUAAUCGGAAUUACUGGGCGUAAAGCGUGCGUAGACGGUUAUGUAAGUCGGGUGUGAAAGCCCCGGGCUCAACCCGGGAACUGCAUUCGAGACUGCAUAGCUAGGGUGCGGAAGAGGGAAGCGGAAUUUCAGGUGUAGCGGUGAAAUGCGUAGAUAUCUGAAGGAACACCAGUGGCGAAAGCGGCUUCCUGGUCCAGCACCGACGUUCAGGCACGAAAGCGUGGGGAG
rnacentral:rRNA from 1 species